CUGAAAAUGGAGGACGUCAUGUCAGACAAGUUUCAAACCGUAAAAGGCGAAGCAAUUAAGAGAGCUGAUAUAAUUGCUGCAACCCUUGGAUCAGGGAUUGCUUCUGGCAAGGAGGAGGUCAUAUCAG
rnacentral:ribozyme from 1 species